rnacentral:tRNA from 1 species
UAAUAAGAAGCAAUUCUGCAUUCAGUUUCGACCUGACCCUUGAUAAAAUACUUUAUCCUUAUUAA